rnacentral:lncRNA from 1 species
UUUGCAGAAGAAAACUAUCACUUUUCUAAAAUGGCUCCAAACACCUCCAAAUCAGAAACUAGAGACAGUGUUGUCGCCCUUGUCGUCCAGGCUGGAGUGUGAUGGCGCAUCUCGGCUCACUGCAGCCUCUGCCUCCUGGGUUCAAGCAAUUCUCCUGCCUCAGCCUCUCAAGUAGCUGGGAUUACAGGCGCCCACUUAUCAUGCCCAGCUAAUUUUUGUAUUUUUAGUAGAGAUGGGGUUUCACCAUGUUGGCCAGGCUGGUCUCAAACUCCAAACCUCAGGUGAUCCACCCUCCUUGGCCUCCCAAAGUGCUGGGCUUACAGGCCUGAGCCACCGCACCCGGCCUUCAUCUUCAUUCAACAGGAAAUCAGCACAUAUGAUUAGAACAAGCACUGAGAAAUCACAGGACUGGACCGUCUCUGCUUUCCUUCUCUUAAGGAAUGGUAAAGAAAAAGAAUCAGGAGACAGGAACGUUAGUGUCCUGCCCUUGUCUUGCCUCACAGCAGGCCUCCCAAAGAAACCAGCUGCAGCACAUUCUCACCUCGGUGAAGGCUGCAGGGAACCGAGGAGAGCCCU